rfam:Felis catus isolate Cinnamon breed Abyssinian chromosome D3, whole genome shotgun sequence.
GCCUGGGUGGCUCAGUCAGUUAAGCAUCUGACUCUUGGUUUCAGCUCAGGCCAUGAUCUCACAGUUCGUGGGUUCAAGCCCCACGUCAGGCU